rnacentral:rRNA from 1 species
GAUCAAGCUACAAAGAGCGUAUGGUGGAUGCCUUGGCACUAGGCGCCGAUGAAGGACGUGACAAGCUGCGAUAAGCGACGGGGAACCGCAAAUAGGUUGUGAUCCGUCGAUUUCCGAAUGCGGAAACGCAAUACUCUUAGCCGAGUAUUAUCCUUACAGGAAUCAAAUACUGUAAUGGAGGGGAACCCAGGGAAUUGAAACAUCUUAGUACCUGGAGGAAGAGAAAGAAAAAUCGAUUUCCUAAGUAGUGGUGAGCGAACGGGAAAGAGCCCAAACCACUGGUGGUAACACUGGUGGGGUUCGGACUGAAAUCACGCAAAAGAAUCCGUAGUUGAAAUAGUUUGGAAAACUAUACGAUACAGAGUGAAAGUCUCGUAAACGAAAUGGAUUUUUAGCAUUCAGUA